CUANCAUGCAGUCGAGCGGAACGAANAGUAGCUUGCUACUCUGGCGUCGAGCGGCGGACGGGUGAGUAAUGCUUGGGAACAUGCCUUGAGGUGGGGGACAACAGUUGGAAACGACUGCUAAUACCGCAUAAUGUCUACGGACCAAAGGGGGCUUCGGCUCUCGCCUUUAGAUUGGCCCAAGUGGGAUUAGCUAGUUGGUGAGGUAAUGGCUCACCAAGGCGACGAUCCCUAGCUGGUUUGAGAGGAUGAUCAGCCACACUGGGACUGAGACACGGCCCAGACUCCUACGGGAGGCAGCAGUGGGGAAUAUUGCACAAUGGGCGCAAGCCUGAUGCAGCCAUGCCGCGUGUGUGAAGAAGGCCUUCGGGUUGUAAAGCACUUUCAGUCAGGAGGAAAGGUUAGUAGUUAAUACCUGCUAGCUGUGACGUUACUGACAGAAGAAGCACCGGCUAACUCCGUGCCAGCAGCCGCGGUAAUACGGAGGGUGCGAGCGUUAAUCGGAAUUACUGGGCGUAAAGCGUACGCAGGCGGUUUGUUAAGCGAGAUGUGAAAGCCCCGGGCUCAACCUGGGAACUGCAUUUCGAACUGGCNAACUAGAGUGUGAUAGAGGGUGGUANAAUUUCANGUGUANCGGUGAAAUGCGUAAANAUCUGAANGAAUACCGAUGGCNAAGGCAGCCACCUGGGUCAACACUGACNCUCAUGUACNAAAGCGUGGGGAGCAAACNGGAUUAGAUACCCUGGUANUCCACGCCGUAAACGAUGUCUACUAAAANCUCGGAACUUCCGUUCUGUUUUUCAAGCUNACGCAUUAANUA
rnacentral:rRNA from 1 species